rnacentral:rRNA from 1 species
UACCAGCUCCCCGAGUGGUUGGGACGAUUAUUGGGUCUGAAGCGUCCGUAGCCGGCCGGAAAAGUUCCCCGUUAAAUCUGACGAUCCAAUCGUUGGGCUGCGGGGAAUACUCUUCGGCUUGGGGGCGAGGGAGGUCGGCGGUAGUCCCGGGGUAGGGGCGAAAUCCUAUAAUCCCGGGAGGACCACCAGUGGCGAAGGCGGCCGACUAAAACGCGCCCGACGGUGAGGGACGAAAGCUGGGGGAGCGAACGGG